rnacentral:rRNA from 1 species
GGAGUUAUGAAAUGUAAGUGCGCUAAUAUCGUGCUUAUUUGACAAAGGCUCCAAAGGAAGCCACGGCUAACUCUGUGCCAGCAGCCGCGGUAAUACAGAGGUGGCGAGCGUUGUUCGGAAUUAUUGGGCGUAAAGAGCACGUAGGUGGGUUUGCAAGUCAGAUGUGAAAGCCUUCUGUUCAACGGAAGAAUUGCAUCUGAAACUGCUAAUCUUGAGUAUAGGAGGGGAGAGUGGAACUUCUGGU